CGAUGGGUGGAGUGUUCCACUCCUGCGGGAAAUUUGGUCAUCGCUUGAUGGGGAGUGGAGGAAAUCGCUUCGAUGGGUGGUUGCAGUGACGAAAUUCACACCUUAGCAACGUUAAUAAGUUCGCGGUGAGGAUGAUCAGAAUACAGUUCGACGUGUUGGAAUAUCUAUCAACUUGGAGUUUCAACCUCGAUCCAGGACUUUGAGUGGACUUCAAUCCGGAAAAGUGGACUUCAUUCACAGAAAUGCACUUGCGAUGUUGCUACCGUUGCCAAUCGCCACAUUUAUUUCUCUUGCCCGAGACGAGAGAGCUGCAUUGAAAAUUGCAUUAAGUGGAAAGAGUGAAUAAAACUGAACUGUUUGAAAAAUUAAUUUUAAUCUACCGAGAGAGAAAUGUGGCAGUUUCCCCAAUUCUUGCUGUAGAUACCAUGCACUUUGACUAUUGUAUCAACGAGAGAUAAACAGCAGGCGAAGUCCAAUUGAUGAAUCGAUACGAAGCUAAACAUUGCCUUCG
rnacentral:sRNA from 2 species